rnacentral:lncRNA from 1 species
GAGGGCAGCCACUUGGGGUCUGAUUUGAUGAUGCACAGUUACGAGAGCAAGUGUUUCUGUAUCCCAGCUCAAGUGUUUAAGCACCAUGUGCAUCUGGGUUCCUGCUACAAAGAGGAUGUUGUUGGGAGCAGCAAGAACCCUUGUCCUGUCCCAUGCUUGCUCAUCUCCUCUGUGUCUGAGCAGGCAUCCUGCUGCAUGGCUGGUGCUGGAUCCCAGACAUGAGGAGCGAGGUGGGGAAGGCCAGGGAUCUCCUGCCUACAGAGCUGGUCCCCAUGGUGCCAGGAGAGGGGCCAGGGGCUGGGAGCAAGGGGGCAGCAGGCCAGACAGGGGCAGGGGUGGGCAGGGAAGCAGCAGGGGCCUCAUGGAGAGGGUACAGAAGGUGCUGCUGCAGCACAGCAGCUGUCACCUUUGCCUCUUUCCCAAAAGUUCCCGCACAGCCACCUGGGCAGGAACAGUCUGCUCCCCCGUUCCUGUGCUGCCCUCCCAGCAGGAUGGGACAUGUGAGGAGGGACUUGGCCUACACCAUGAUCAGGGCCAGCUCCCCAGGGAUGGCACAGCUUGGCCUGAGGCACCUCCAGCUCCUCGGCCUCUGCUCCAGCAUGUCUGGCACAGGGAUGAGAGCUCCUCGGGCAGGGAAGAGCAAGCCUGGCUGGGGCAGAAUCAGGGGUAAGAUGCAAAGGUCCUGGCUCAGCACUGGGCUUUGGAAAACUCCCUCUGGCAUCCUGAGAGGCUCCAUCUGCCUCUUCCACACUGCCCUGUGCUCCCCUCCCAUUGGACAAAGUGGAGCUCAGCCUGGGGACUCUCCUCCCCAUGGGGAGCAGAGGGAGGGCCUUCACCAGCCUCACACUGCCUUUUCCACCCUCAGCCUUUGCACUUGCAUGUGCCCACUUGCCUUCACCACUGGAAGCCCAUGAAAAUCCCAGCGCUCCUGCCCUCGAGCUGGCAUCCAGCCUGAACCUGGAGCCUGGCUGCCCACAAAGGCAUCACCUGUGCAGUGCACCACCAG